UACGAGGGGGGCAAAUGUUGUUCGGAAUUACUGGGCGUAAAGGGCUCGUAGGUUGCCAACUAAGUCGGACGUGAAAUCCCUCAGCUUAACUGGGGAACUGCGUCCGAUACUGGAUGGCUUGAGUUUGGGAGAGGGAUGCGGAAUUCCAGGUGUAGCGGUGAAAUGCUUAGAUAUGACAUAGAACACCAAUUGCGAAGGCAGCUUACUACACAGUGAUUGACACUGAGGCACGAAAGCGUGGGGAUCAAACAGG
rnacentral:rRNA from 1 species